GACGAACGCUUGCGGCGUGCUUAACACAUGCAAGUCGAACGGAAAGGCCCUGCUUUUGUGGGGUGCUCGAGUGGCGAACGGGUGAGUAACACGUGAGUAACCUGCCCUUGACUUUGGGAUAACUUCAGGAAACUGGGGCUAAUACCGGAUAGGAGCUCCUGCUGCAUGGUGGGGGUUGGAAAGUUUCGGCGGUUGGGGAUGGACUCGCGGCUUAUCAGCUUGUUGGUGGGGUAGUGGCUUACCAAGGCUUUGACGGGUAGCCGGCCUGAGAGGGUGACCGGCCACAUUGGGACUGAGAUACGGCCCAGACUCCUACGGGAGGCAGCAGCGGGGAAUAUUGCACAAUGGGCGGAAGCCUGAUGCAGCAACGCCGCGUGCGGGAUGACGGCCUUCGGGUUGUAAACCGCUUUCGCCUGUGACGAAGCGUGAGUGACGGUAAUGGGUAAAGAAGCACCGGCUAACUACGUGCCAGCAGCCGCGGUGAUACGUAGGGUGCGAGCGUUGUCCGGAUUUAUUGGGCGUAAAGGGCUCGUAGGUGGUUGAUCGCGUCGGAAGUGUAAUCUUGGGGCUUAACCCUGAGCGUGCUUUCGAUACGGGUUGACUUGAGGAAGGUAGGGGAGAAUGGAAUUCCUGGUGGAGCGGUGGAAUGCGCAGAUAUCAGGAGGAACACCAGUGGCGAAGGCGGUUCUCUGGGCCUUUCCUGACGCUGAGGAGCGAAAGCGUGGGGAGCGAACAGGCUUAGAUACCCUGGUAGUCCACGCUGUAAACGGUGGGUACUAGGUGUGGGGUCCAUUCCACGGGUUCCGUGCCGUAGCUAACGCUUUAAGUACCCCGCCUGGGGAGUACGGCCGCAAGGCUAAAACUCAAAGGAAUUGACGGGGCCCCGCACAAGCGGCGGAGCAUGCGGAUUAAUUCGAUGCAACGCGUAGAACCUUACCUGGGUUUGACAUGGAUCGGGAGUGCUCAGAGAUGGGUGUGCCUCUUUUGGGGUCGGUUCACAGGUGGUGCAUGGCUGUCGUCAGCUCGUGUCGUGAGAUGUUGGGUUAAGUCCCGCAACGAGCGCAACCCUUGUUCACUGUUGCCAGCACGUUAUGGUGGGGACUCAGUGGAGACCGCCGGGGUCAACUCGGAGGAAGGUGGGGAUGACGUCAAGUCAUCAUGCCCCUUAUGUCCAGGGCUUCACGCAUGCUACAAUGGCUGGUACAGAGAGUGGCGAGCCUGUGAGGGUGAGCGAAUCUCGGAAAGCCGGUCUCAGUUCGGAUUGGGGUCUGCAACUCGACCUCAUGAAGUCGGAGUCGCUAGUAAUCGCAGAUCAGCAACGCUGCGGUGAAUACGUUCCCGGGGCU
rnacentral:rRNA from 1 species